CCUACGGGGGGCAGCAGUGGGGAAUAUUGGACAAUGGGCGAAAGCCUGAUCCAGCCAUGCCGCGUGUGUGAAGAAGGCCUUCGGGUUGUAAAGCACUUUCAGUGGGGAAGAAAGCCUUGGGGCUAAUACCCUCGAGGAAGGACAUCACCCACAGAAGAAGCACCGGCUAACUCCGUGCCAGCAGCCGCGGUAAUACGGAGGGUGCGAGCGUUAAUCGGAAUUACUGGGCGUAAAGCGCGCGUAGGCGGUCUGAUAAGCCGGUUGUGAAAGCCCCGGGCUCAACCUGGGAACGGCAUCCGGAACUGUCAGGCUAGAGUGCAGGAGAGGAAGGUAGAAUUCCCGGUGUAGCGGUGAAAUGCGUAGAGAUCGGGAGGAAUACCAGUGGCGAAGGCGGCCUUCUGGACUGACACUGACGCUGAGGUGCGAAAGCGUGGGUAGCAAACAGGAUUAGAUACCCUGGUAGUC
rnacentral:rRNA from 1 species